UUUUGUCAAAAUCAGCAAAAAAUGACCUUGUGGAAUUCAAUGAAAAUCACAGAUUAUAUUUUAAAUUAAAUGCUGAUUUUGAUAUUAGUUUUCUCGUCCAAUCAGCAAGUUCGAAAGAAUUGGAAGAAAAGUGCUUGUAACGCAAAAUAUUUGUUCGUCCGUUUUCGACAUUUAUCGAAAAUAUUUGAAGUCUCACGUAAAAAUAAAAUCGCUUUUCGUGAUAUUUGUUAAAUUUUGAGUACAUCACAUGUAUCUCAAGUAAUAUUUAAAAUUUGUCAAAAAAUGAAAAACUGGGAAGGGUAUAGCCUUCCCAUGUUUGCCAAAAUCUGCAAAACGUGACAUCUCUUAGAAUUCGGCGAAAAUCCCACAGUAUACUCAAAAUGGAACACUAAUUUUGAAAAAGUACAGCCUCAAUAAUUUGACUAAGCAGUAUGAAAAAGUUGAUCUCGUAACGAAAUUUGUUACUAUGGAUUUGCUUGAAUUGCCUCUUGAGGCAGAAACCUGUUUCUUCACCGCAAAAGAAGAAUAUGAUGGAAAUCUCGUGAUACUGCGAUUGAUAGGAAAUAUAUAGUACAAGCAUCGCGUUGUUAUGGAGGAAAAACCACGCCAACAUUUGGGUGGACGAAAUCCUGCACUAAAAAGCAUAGUGGUAUUCUGUCUUGGUGAUAGAACUCUUUGUGCCUAUCUGCAUCAGGCAUUAAUCAAAACCGAUGGUGUCGAAAUCGACCGGAUCUCGCUUUAUGGAAACAGGGAUUAAUCUGAUAUGCAAGUUGAGUUUCCAAAUGCUGUAUUACGUUUAACAUGAUUUUUGUUUUCAACCUGUUUCACAUUUACAUCCAUAUUUUUCGGUUUAACAGGAAAGAAGUUUUACCAUACUCGCUAGGAACUUAUCUAAGUAAGAAGCAGUAAUGUUCUUCGUAGGAUGUUAACGUGUGUAUACGAGAAAAAAUAAAUUCGACGUAGUAAUCCA